AUGGGGGCAAACUUUCCCCUUGCUAUUCUCAUAGUAGAGAUCUCAUGAGAUCUAGUUGAUUGCAAGUAUGUAGCACUUCCCCUUUCACCCUCUCUUCUUCCCGCUGCAGCCAUAUAGGACAUGCUGACUUCCCCUUUGUCUUCUGCCAUGAUUCGGCCACUGAUCGAGUCACUCCAUCCAAGUCAGAAGCACCGCCAAACGCACCUCGAACUUUUGGACUCCGCUUCAUUUUCUACUCUACUGUGACUAUUUCAAUAACUUCAUAUCUUCAUUUUAUGGUGGGGGGGAGGUGUCUGGAAUGUUGGAAUUGCUUAUAAGCCAUUUUAUUACCCUCUAUUAUGACUUUCCGAACUCCUCCAAAGUCCUGUGAGCUCACUGAAAUAUCUUGGUAUGCCCAAUGCCUUUCAUCAUGUGAUACCUAGAGCACUCAAAUAAACAUUUUUGAAAUAAUUUGAUAUAGGAAUGGCCUAUAAGCUCUGCAGCCAAGGAUAGGAUCACCACCCAUGAAAACCAGCUCAGUCAGGGAUGCUUGCAGUUUUGUUUUCUGAGAGACUCAUGCAAAUGCCUACUUUAAGGAACAUAGAUAUUUUUAUGAGCACAUGCUUCCAU
rnacentral:lncRNA from 1 species